rnacentral:rRNA from 1 species
GAUGAACGCUGGCGGCGUGCUUAACACAUGCAAGUCGAACGGAAAGGCCAUGCUUUUGUGGGGUGCUCGAGUGGCGAACGGGGGAGUAACACGUGAGUAACCUGCCCUUGACUUUGGGAUAACUUCAGGAAACUGGGGCUAAUACCGGAUAGGAGAUCCUGCUGCAUGGGGGGGGUUGGAAAGUUUCGGCGGUUGGGGAUGGACUCGAGGCUUAUCAGCUUGUUGGUGUGGUAGUGGUUUACAAAGGCUUUGACGGGUAGCCGGCCUGGGAGGGUGACCGGCCACAUGGGGACUGAGAUACGCCCCAGACUCCUACGGGAGGCAGCAGUGGGAAAUAUGGCACAAUGGGCGGAAGCCUGAUGCGGCAACGCCGCGUGCGGGAUGACGGCCUUCGGGUUGUAAACCGCUUUCGCCUGUGACGAAGCGUGAGUGACGGUAAUGGGUAAAGAAGCACCGGCUAACUACGUG